AUAUCUCAGGCUCUCUGUGUCUCCAUCCCUUCUCUGAGUAGCUGUGCACGGCCUAGGACUGCCAAUGAGACUCCGAUCUGUCAUCUGUCCUAGGCGCUUCAGCUGUUCGCCUAUCCGAGACUUCCAUAGCAGCACAUGACAGCGCUAGGUCGGAGCAGGCCUGUAGCAGAGCAGCUUAUGGGGUAGAAACAUCCGAACAGAGAUGUUUCUAGCUUCCUCUUCACAAUUCAGUACCCGUCGCACUGGUACUCUAGUCUGUUAAUGUCCAUUCACAAUUCAGUGAAUCAUCUCAUAGAACCAAAGGUCGAUUGCUAAGUGACUAACUUAAAUAAUUGUGAUGUUAUUUGUUUAUCUUAUGAAUAAUCUCCUUUUAUCUUGUAUUGAAUAAUCUCUUUUUUUAUCUUCAUCUGAAUAAUUUUAUGAUCUAGCUGGUACUCGUCAGGAUAAAUUCAAGUUAGUGGAGAUGUAAUGAAACUAUGAAAGUACAUUUAUUUUGUAUUACCAGACAAAUGAUGUACCAUUUUGCCAAACGCGU
rnacentral:lncRNA from 1 species